rnacentral:lncRNA from 1 species
CAAGGGUGCGGUUGUGAAGGUGUUCUCCUCUUAGAUGACCUGUAAAUGAUAAUCUGCCCUGAUCAGGGUUGUUGGACAGUUAAUCGAGGUGUGACAGGGUGGGGAAUCUCAGGCCCAGGAGGCCACUAUGUGAGGAAAAGCCUCCUGAUCGCAAUUUUCUGUGGAAUCUGAGGGUGAAUGGAAGGUGGAGGACCGUAUUCAUGGAAGAGGAUUGAACAGACUACUGAGUUCUUAAGAGAAAAAUGGCACUUAAGAAAUUGAUGGUGAUAUCAAAGGAAGGUUACUUAUUACUCUUGGACUUUGAUGAUGAGGACGAUGACAUAAAAGUUUCAGAGGAGGCUCUUGCGGAAGUAAAGAGCCCAGGAUUUGAUAAAAAUGAGAAUAUAUCGCCUCAAGCAGAAGCAGAUGAAUAUAUGGGAGAUGAAGUAGACAGUAUGUUGGAUAAAUCUGGAGUAAAGAACCCAGCAAUUGGUAAAGAUGAGAAUAUAUCGCCUCAAGUAAAAGGAGAUGAAGACAUGGGUUCAAUAGAGUACUUCAAAAGUUGUGUUUGUGUUACCUUCACUGGAAAAGUAGAUUCAGGAAUAUCAGCAUUUCAAGAGAUGAAAUUGACAGUAUGUUGGCUACAUCUGGAGGUCUUUUCUCCUGAGAACACGGGACUCCAGCAUCUUCGGAUUCUGCUCUUGGAGGGGUUUGCCCCACAUCCUCUAUAUUGCAGAAAACAAGACUAGGCUCUACCUCUGUAGAUCAAGCACGACUGAAAUCCGUGCUCUCAAAAGAUGCUGGGGAGAAAGAGUGCCAUUCUUCACAAAUGCUGGAUCCUGCAGAUGUUCACCAUCUCAUGAGUAGGGCCUCAGAAGUCCCCCACCAUGCCAAAGGAUUCACAGACCUACCAAAUCUUUGAAAACCCCAUCAGAAAAGGCCCCUUCUGCCCAAGAUUAUCUGAAUGAAACAUAGCAACUGUAACUUAAAUCAAGAAAGCUAUUUUGUGCGGACAUUAGAAGUGUGAAACUAAUUCUCAAAAGGUGUAUAUUAUCUGAAUCAACACUUAUAAUUUCCUACCCAUUUUACAACACAGCAAGUUCUUCAUGCCUAGCAGGAUUAUUCUGCUGCAUCAUUGGACUGAAAGUGAAUGGCCCAUGUGUUGCCACUGAUGUGAGCCAUUUGCCUGUUGUGCUUCAGGAGAAUUAUAUGACCUUCAACAAGCAAUCUAAAUAUGAAAAAUUAAUAGGAACCCAACUCGCUAACUGUGACAGACAAAGCAAUUGUUUAAGGCCACAAGUGCUAUCUUCAGGAAUCCAACUUUGUCUGUGUUCUGAAUCUAGUCAAACACAGAUAUAAGUAUUUGAAAUAAAACUUUCAUUUGUACUAUAAAGAAAAAAAAAAAAAAAAAAAAAAAA